GAUGAACGCUGGCGGCGUGCCUAAUACAUGCAAGUCGAGCGAACGGACGAGAAGCUUGCUUCUCUGAUGUUAGCGGCGGACGGGUGAGUAACACGUGGAUAACCUACCUAUAAGACUGGGAUAACUUCGGGAAACCGUAGCUAAUACCGGAUAAUAUUUUGAACCGCAUGGUUCAAAAGUGAAAGACGGUCUUGCUGUCACUUAUAGAUGGAUCCGCGCUGCAUUAGCUAGUUGGUAAGGUAACGGCUUACCAAGGCAACGAUGCAUAGCCGACCUGAGAGGGUGGGCGGCCACACGGAGACAGAGACCGGCCCGACAGUCCAGGGGGGGGCAGGAGGAGGGACUCUUCCGGAAGGGGGGAAGACCGUGGGGAGCGGCGCGGCGGGAGUAGGAAGGGUCUCCGUUUGUAAAAAUUUGUUUUUUGGGAAAAAAAAUGUGUUUAAGUACCUGUACACUUCAGGACGGUCAAUAAUAAAAGACCCACGGCAAACUCGGGG
rnacentral:rRNA from 1 species